rnacentral:rRNA from 1 species
UACGUAGGGGGCAAGCGUUGUUCGGAUUUACUGGGCGUAAAGGGCGCGUAGGCGGCAAUUCAAGUCAGCUGUGAAAUCUCCGGGCUUAACUCGGAACGGUCAGCUGAUACUGCUUUGCUAGAGUGCAGAAAGGGCAAUCGGAAUUCUUGGUGUAGCGGUGAAAUGCGUAGAUAUCAAGAGGAACACCUGAGGCGAAGGCGGGUUGCUAGGCUGACACUGACGCUGAGUGCGCGAAAGCCAGGGGAGCAAACGGG